rnacentral:lncRNA from 1 species
GCUGCGGUGGGAUUCCUCGCAGUGAGCCGUUCUGGUCGCGAGGGACCGCGCUAAGAGCCUCCGCGGUGCCGGGAGUCGGAAGCGACGCCGAGGACCGUGAAAUGGAAGCUUUCUCCGAUUCCGCAGGCCGCGCGGGGGGUCCCGGCGGAGCCCGUUCGGCCCGAACGGGCGCGACGGCGGAAGCGGCGAGCGUUUCGGAGCCGCCGGGCGCUGAGAUCGGUCUCGUCGGAACUCGCGUCGGAGAGCCGCUCAACCGCCUCCGUUUUUUCGCGAUCCGGCCGAGAGCGAGCGUGAUCCCGGGGCCGCCUCGGACCCCGGGAGGGUUUCGCGGGCGCUUCGGCCCCUGCCGCUCGCCGCGGCGGAGCCCGUAUUUCCUCCCUCCUUCGUUUGCGUAACUUCAGACGCGUCGUCUCGCUUCUAUCGCGGAGACGCGGCGGGACGGCUUUCGAAACCGGUUCGCUGUUUCGGACGACGCGUUGCCUUCUGUAGAAAGGGAGACCGGCGACUCGGCGGGAGAGAGGCGGCGGCAGAGCGACGAGAGAAUGGGGAGCGCCGGGGGAAGAAGGCUCGAGUGGUAGGCAAGGGGCCGGAGGACGGCCGUCAUCGCCGAGGCGUUCAGAAAGGGCGAGGAGGACGGCUCGCACGACUACGGGGAACAGCCUUUUCGAGACGUCGUCCGCGAGCGAGAGGAAGUGAAGGGAUUUCUAAGGAGCAGCGUUCUACCGGGCUUGUUUGCAGCCGAUGUCUCCGUCUGGGCUUUGCUGAAAGCUGCGCUUGGAGAAGAAGAGGAGGAGCCCUACUGGGUAAUAGUCCUAGAAAUCUGCAGGAAACAGAGGUGGAGGAAAGCGAUGGCAAGCUGAUGAAGAAGAGGGAGAUGAGACCUGAUCCGGGUCUAUCAAUAUCUAAGGUGCGGGGGCCAGAGAGGCGAGGCCGGACUCUCGUCAGCGGCGUGCGGAAACAGGACGAGGGGAAACGGCCAGAAACUGGAGCUUAG